CCACGGAUCUGGCCAGCCACC
rnacentral:miRNA from 1 species